GUACUUGCUUUGUCAGCACAUAGACUAAAAUUGGGAUGAUACUGAGAAUAUUAGCAUGGCCUUUGUGCAAGGAUGACAUGCACAUUUGUGAAGCGUUCCAUAUUUGA